AAACUGUGUUACGUAGGCGUUUAAUUUGAUUUGGGCCUUACAUUCGUUCAGAUCGGCGAGCCCAGUGAGUUUCUCCAAAUGUUAACGCAGCAAUAUUAGUCGUUUCGUAUUAGGGUUUUCGAUUACCUUUCGUCUCCGCAAUGACAUAACCAGAGUUCUUAGAGUGUUCUUUCAACUUCUUCCUAACGAUCUAUACCAGUUACAGAUUCCCUAUGUUAAAGUAAUUAUUAAACCAUCACCCACUAUCUAUAUUGAAUACAAGCUUCUUCAUGCAAGGCGGUGGAGCUCUGAUUAUAAAAGGCAGCGAUCUUCCUUUCCCAUCUGAAGACCGGACAAUACCGGAAAAUGCUCAUCCACCGUUCAAGUCCGAUUGCUCCGCUUCUGGGAGGCCAGGAACGUCCAACACGGCGGCGAACUCGAUAUGUUGCUAAUUGAUUCCCAGGAUCAUCCGUCGUGUUGAAUAUUUAUAAACAAGAUUUCUGAUCAUUUUAUGUUUAGUCGACGAUGAUGCUGGCGACGGUGAAUGUGAACCGCUUGCAGCUCAGAGGCCUAAUCUGGUUUUCUACUUUAAAAAGUAUAACAUUUUGAUCACUUUUUAAUGUUAUCAGUGAUGUUUCGGUGACUAUGAGUCUGUUCGAUUCACAGGCUGUCAAACUCCACAAACAACUUGAAUCGAUGGGAGGUGAUCCAAGGGUUCUGGUUGCAACCAGUAUCAACCCCAAUAUUGUGGGAGGCGCACACAUAUAUUUUGACAAGGACCACCGCAGAGCAGACUUAUUUCUACGGCCUGGUUGCCCAUGAUCUUCCAUUAGCGGCUCCAUUGCUAAAUAGAUACGCCAAGGUGGAAUCUUUGAGCAUAGCUGAGCUCAAUGAAUUUGUCAUAUCUGCUUCUUCUCAGGAGAUUGAUUUCAUCUGCAUGGGAAGGUCACUGGUAUCAAGCUGGAGAAGGGAUGUUGCUACGUUUCUUGCUCCAACUGCACCAAGAAGCUCCAACGCACUGUCUCAGCUUUCACCUCUCUGCAUUGUACUAAUACUAAUGCUGUUGAUGUCCCGAGAUAUCGGGUGGAGAUGUCCAUUGCAGAUGAAACUGCUGAAGGUCUCUUUAUUUGUUUUGGUGGGGUUAUGAUAAAACUGCAUAAUAUGAGAGCCUAUGAAGCUGGCCAUCUUUUGGCUGGUGAUGGUGUGAACCCGGAGGACACUCAGGAACCUCCAUUUGUCGCAGGUAUGGGGGGUAGGACCUACACGUUCCAGGUCAAGGUCAGUGCAUACAACUUCACUGCAAACCAUCAAACCUUUACGAUCUCCCACAUCCUUAGUGAAGUAUGCAGAUAGUAUCAGGUUAGUUUGGUCUGAAUAGGGAGGCAAUAAUGACAAUGGAGACAACAACUGUGGUGCCAUCUCUGUUCGUUCUAAGGUGGAGACUGGUGGUAGCAGUCAGGUGCAAGGAUCCUCGGAAGUUAAGAAGAAGGCACGUAAAGCAUAGGUGGAGUCGUGGAGAUGAUUGGAUACUUGAAGGUAUGAUGCAGUAUUUUCAGCUUUCAAGAAUGCUUAUGCAUCUGUUUUUUUUCCCCUGUUUUGUUGACAACUAGGUCUUUGAAUCUUGGUUAUUUUAUGUUUGGUUACAGACAAGCUUUAUAAAAUCUAUCACUUCUCCA